AUGAAGGCAUUGAAAGCAAGGGCAUACAGGAAAUAUGAUGGUGUGAAAAAGUCCAGCAUGAACUCAGACAGGACACAGACCAGGACCAGAGCCUCAUGUAGACAGAGCUGCUGCAGAAGGAGCAAUGAGCAUGCCUGCACCCUUGAGAGACCUGAGGAGGAUGAAGGAAAAUACGGACAACUUGAAUCCAUGACAGUCUUCAGUCUAGGAUCAAGGCCUCCUCACAAAAGCCAUCUCCUUGUAGCUGAGAACUCAACAGACUGUCUGGAAUCAGUUGCGGCAUCACAGUCCUGUAACACCAGAACUCCCAGGCAGAGAUGGAUGUCUGCAAGUGCCAAGUGGCUUGGUCUACACAGUGUGAAAAAGUCCAGCAUGAACUCAGACAGGCCACAGACCAGGACCAGAGCCUCCUGUAGAUCAAGCUGCUGCAGAAGGAGCAAUGAGCAUGCCUGCACCCUUGAGAGACCUGAGGAGGAUGAAGGAAAAUACGGACAACUUGAAUCCAUGACAGUCUUCAGUCUAGGAUCAAGGCCUCCUCACAAAAGCCAUCUCCUUGUAGAUGAGAACUCAACGGGCAGCCACUUGACCGUCAACAACAACAACAACAACAACAACAACAAUAAUAAAGACUGUGGAUGUUGCUGCUGA
ensembl:lincRNA 4933413J09Rik RIKEN cDNA 4933413J09 gene